rnacentral:rRNA from 1 species
UAAACAUUGAUAGUACACCACAUAAACUAUCCGCCCGGGCACUACGAGCGCUAGCUUAAAACCCAAAGGACUUGGCGGUGCUUAAGAUCCACCUAGAGGAGCCUGUUCUAAAACCGAUAACCCCCGUUAAACCUCACCCCCUCUUGUUAUCCCAGCCUAUAUACCGCCGUCGUCAGCUUACCCUGUGAGGGUCUAAAAGUAAGCAGAAUUAGCAUAGCCCAAAACGUCAGGUCGAGGUGUAGCGCAUGAGGGGGGAAGAAAUGGGCUACAUUCCCUAAUAUAGGGAAUACGAAAGACAAAUUGAAAUAUUUACCAGAAGGAGGAUUUAGCAGUAAGCAGAGAACAGAGUGCUCCGCUGAAAUCGGCUCUAAGGCGCGCACACACCGCCCGUCACUCUCCCCGAAAAACAUUAAUCAACUUAACUAAAACCUAAGACACAUAGAGGGGAGGCAAGUCGUAACAUGGUAAGUGUACCGGAAGGUGCACUUGGAAAAAAU